UCUAAUACCAUUUUAAUCUGUCAUGCCUUGGGGCCUAAUUAAUAGAAGAAUUGGUAUAAAAUAGUGUCGUUUUAUAAAUCAGAGUUGUAGAUUUUUUUUUUAACGACUUGGUCCACGUGACGUACAAACCCGCCACAAAUACAAAUUUCCCUGUCUACAUGGACAGAGUCUCUUUUAUAUUUGCACAGCGUACCGAUCAAUAACAUCAACAGGAUCACCACUCACAACCUACAUUCAUCAAAUCCACAGGCGAUUUAUGCGAUGCAUUUACAUACAGCUAAUCAUCAUUAAAAAUAAUGCAUGUCUUUAAGCACUCCUUAGGUGCUGGAUGAUGCGAUACACAAUACAAUAAUCAUCCUAUUUAAAAGUAUUUCUUACCCAAAAGCUUUAUUUUUAAACUCUAAUUAUUCGUUAAACAAAAAUCAUUCAAAAAGCCUUUUGAAAACUGUCUCUCACACAAAAACUCAAUCUUUGAAAAUCGACUACCUUGAGGGUUAGAA
rnacentral:lncRNA from 1 species